rnacentral:lncRNA from 1 species
AUGCUAGGGGCCGUUUCCUUGCGUCUGCGGUUCUUUACUAAGCGCUGGGUUCGUGGACUUGCCUCAGCAGCGGACAGUAACGUUCUCACCUCAGACCGAGCCCGCACGCGCCCUUCCUCCCGUGGGCCGCCCCAACAACCCAGAACUCGCCUCCGCCUCCCACCCCCUCCACCAGAGUCUUCUGGAGUCACGAGUUGGGUGCUGUCCCUUGCUUGCUUGCUUUCCAGAGUCUCUCCUACCGCGCUCAGGGCCCUACGCGCCGAGCCUCCUUGCCCUUUCCCUCCCAGGCUCUGUAUCUGCCUCACCGCCCACUUCGCCGAGGCCCCACUGCGAGUUGCUACCCAGCACCUCGGACAGCUCCAGGGAAGCGCGCCAGUCCGGGCGCAGGUCCACUGCCCCGAGUCUCGCAGGCUCAGCCUAGCGGCUCCCGGGGUUUCCUCUCCGGACACCUCUGUCCCGGGCCGGGUCCCCCGCGGGCCCCGCGAGCUUCUGAGAGCUCCGGGAAGUGCUGGCGGCGCGGGGCGGGGCUCGUUGUGGGCGCGGCGCGCGCUUCCGGCUCCCGCGGGCGCUGCGGGUCCCUCGGCCCUGCGGCCCAGCUGGCGGUGGACGCGGUGUCACGGCCGGCCCCCGCGGGCCUUUCUCCCACAGUCCGCACGACCCCCAACUGCAGAGCUGCGUCCGUGCGCCAAGAGGGCGCCCCCGGCCCGGUGGGCCCAGGGACCCGACGGCCGCAGGCCAGGUUCCCAAAUCAUGCUUCUCCCUCUUCCUCAUUUUCGGGAGUCCGCUGGAAGAGUUGACAAUCCCGGGAGAGGCCGGGUUUCGCUUUGGAAGAAGCUCGUCUGGGAGUGUGCGGGCGGAGCUUGUGAAGCCCGGGCCGCUGUGCCCCUGCGGGGAGGCCCCAGGCACGGCCCCAUCCGCGCCGCUGGGGUGUGUUUCCCUGAAACCUCUCCACGGAUCAGCACGACGUCACCCGCUGUGACCUCACCUCCCACUCCGUCUGCCAAGGGCACCAGGCCAGGCUCUCCUCUUCUGGAGGGGGGACCCAGUGACACGGUACUCCCCUUUCGAGCGCCGGGCUGUGUCCCUUUGGCCAGAGUCCUGACCUCGGCAUCUGUCAUUCAGUGUGCGGCCCAAUCUCCUCCCCGCUGCCCUGCCGCCUCGUCCCAAGGAUCAACCAGAUUCCGGGUCUCAGGGGAAACUGAAGGCUAG